UACGUAUGGGGCGAGCGUUGUUCGAAUUUACUGGGCGUAAAGGGCUUGUAGGUGGUGGGAUAAGUCGGACGUGAAAUCCCCGGGCUUAACCCGGGAACUGCAUUCGAAACUAUCUCGCUAGAGUACCGGAGAGGGAAACGGAAUUCCUGGUGUAGGGGUGAAAUCUGUAGAUAUCAGGAAGAACACCGGUGGCGAAGGCGGUUUCCUGGCCGGAUACUGACACUGAGGAGCGAAAGCUAGGGGAGCAAACAGG
rnacentral:rRNA from 1 species